GAAAGCAGCACAUGUCCAACAGGAAAAUGAAUAAACAAAUACAGCAUAUUCAUACAAUAGAAUCCUAUACAGAGCAACUAAAAUAACAGCUAGAGGCAACAACACGGAUGGAUCUUACAAGCCUGAUGUGGAACAAGAGAAGCCUGUCCAGAGACUAAGUGAAUGGAUUUAUGUGGUAUGCAAAAACAGGCAAAACCAAAUCAUAGUGUUUUGGGAGGUAUGCUUACAUAGUAAAGCUCUGAAGGAAAACAAAGAAAAGGCGACUAAAGAGAAUGACAACUUACACAAUGCAGAAUCCUGGAUUGGAUCCUAGAUCCAAUCAACGUGUAGGGAUGCUGAUCCCACUCCAAGUCUAGAACAUCAUUCACAUCUUGGACAGCAAAUUUCACAUACUGAUGAAGGCGCCGAAUUUCCUAUAAGAAAAAAAUUAAAAGGCAAAUAACUUGUUUUUCUGAUGUCAUUCUGCAAAAUCUACAAGUGGAUAGCGCACCACCACUACCUGGGCCCACUGUGUCCCUGCAAGAAAGACAACGUGAAAGAAGGUUCUUGUAUGCAAAGGUGCUUUGCUCCUUCUGACAGUUUUUCAAAGUCAAACAGAAAGUACUUCUGGUGAAUCACA
rnacentral:lncRNA from 1 species